UGGUAACUCCGUGCCAGCAGCCGCGUAAAUACGGAGGGUCCAAGCUUUUGCCGGAAUCAUUGGGUUUAAAGGGUCCGUAGGCUGCCUUAUAAGUCAGCGGUGAAAGUUUUUGGCUUAACCAAAAAAUUGCCAUUGAUACUGUAGGGCUUGAAUAUUUGUGAAGUAACUAGAAUAUGUAGUGUAGCGGUGAAAUGCUUAGAUAUUACAUGGAAUACCAAUUGCGAAGGCAGGUUACUAACAAAUGAUUGACGCUGAUGGACGAAAGCGUGGGUAGCGAACAGGAUUAGAUACCCGUGUAGC
rnacentral:rRNA from 1 species